UACGAAGGGGGGCUAGCGUUGCUCGGAAUCACUGGGCGUAAAGCGCACGUAGGCGGAUCUUUAAGUCAGGGGUGAAAUCCCGGAGCUCAACUCCGGAACUGCCUUUGAUACUGAGGAUCUUCGAGUUCGGGAGAGGUGAGUGGAACUGCGAGUGUAGAGGUGAAAUUCGUAGAUAUUCGGCGGAACACCAGUGGCGAAGGCGACUCACUGGCCCGAUACUGACGCUGAGGCGCGAAAGCGUGGGGAGCAAACAGG
rnacentral:rRNA from 1 species